rnacentral:misc_RNA from 1 species
GAAUAAAUCUGACCUGUUGUCGCUGGCUCUCCGGAGCAUGUGCACGCUUGUCACCUUUAUCUUUCCACCUGUGAACACACUGUAGUCCUGGAUACCUCUCGCCGCAAGGCGGAUGCGAAGUCUGCUUCGGCUUACUUCGAAUUUCCAGGUCUAUGAUUUUACAAACCCCAACGAAUGUUUUAGAAUGUUAUCAUCAGGCCUCGUGCCUAUAAAACUAUACAACUUUCAGCAACGGAUCUCUUGGUUCU